GACAGAUGGGAGCUUGCUCCCUGAUGUUAGCGGCGGACGGGUGAGUAACACGUGGGUAACCUGCCUGUAAGACUGGGAUAACUCCGGGAAACCGGGGCUAAUACCGGAUGGUUGUUUGAACCGCAUGGUUCAAACAUAAAAGGUGGCUUUGGCUACCACUUACAGAUGGACCCGCGGCGCAUUAGCUAGUUGGUGAGGUAACGGCUCACCAAGGCAACGAUGCGUAGCCGACCUGAGAGGGUGAUCGGCCACACUGGGACUGAGACACGGCCCAGACUCCUACGGGAGGCAGCAGUAGGGAAUCUUCCGCAAUGGACGAAAGUCUGACGGAGCAACGCCGCGUGAGUGAUGAAGGUUUUCGGAUCGUAAAGCUCUGUUGUUAGGGAAGAACAAGUACCGUUCGAAUAGGGCGGUACCUUGACGGUACCUAACCAGAAAGCCACGGCUAACUACGUGCCAGCAGCCGCGGUAAUACGUAGGUGGCAAGCGUUGUCCGGAAUUAUUGGGCGUAAAGGGCUCGCAGGCGGUUUCUUAAGUCUGAUGUGAAAGCCCCCGGCUCAACCGGGGAGGGUCAUUGGAAACUGGGGAACUUGAGUGCAGAAGAGGAGAGUGGAAUUCCACGUGUAGCGGUGAAAUGCGUAGAGAUGUGGAGGAACACCAGUGGCGAAGGCGACUCUCUGGUCUGUAACUGACGCUGAGGAGCGAAAGCGUGGGGAGCGAACAGGAUUAGAUACCCUGGUAGUCCACGCCGUAAACGAUGAGUGCUAAGUGUUAGGGGGUUUCCGCCCCUUAGUGCUGCAGCUAACGCAUUAAGCA
rnacentral:rRNA from 1 species